GAGCAAUUCAAUUGUAUUCUUAACGGUAGGCCUGACAAAGACUACCAGAAAUACAAAUGGAAGCCUAAGGGCUGCAGUUUACCAAGGUUGAAUCCUUCCCAUAUGUUGGAUAUGUUGAGGGGAAAGCGACUUGUUUUUGUGGGAGAUUCCCUGAAUAGGAAUAUGUGGGAAUCUCUGGUUUGCAUUCUGAAAGGCUCAGUGAAAGAUCCAAGCAAGGUUUUUGAGGCCAAUGGGAGACAACAUUUUAGAGGCGAAGCUUCAUACUCCUUCAUAUUCAAAGA
rnacentral:misc_RNA from 1 species